rnacentral:lncRNA from 1 species
CUUUGUCGAAGCUAGAGGACCGGCAGGCGGCAGCAGCAACUACGGCGGCGGCGGCAGAACCCAGCAGUGAUGUGGAGGUGGAGACCCACAGGAGCCCCGGACUUCACCUGAGCUACCUCAGGUAUCAAUUCUGGGAGAGUGGGGUGGGGAGGAGCAUCAUAACUAAUUAUCUGCUGCUGGUGCGACUUGCAACGUGAGCCAGGCUUGGAUAGAUGGCAUUUGUACUUCACCUGGUCAUUCCCCUUUACUAAAAGUUUGUAUCUUCUUUUACCACUUCUUUCCUUGAUUGCUUCUAUUAUUCUGGGACUACCUCUCUUUAGAGGAGGAGGACCCUCUUACAGAUUCUCUUGUAACUCUGGCCUCUGGUUUGGUUAGUUCAUUUUAGGGAGAUCUGAAGGCAAAGUCACAGUAGUGGGGUGGGGGUAGGUCAAGGCCAAAGGAAUUAGGAAAGAUUCCCUUAUUCUCAAAGGGAACAAUAUGAAGUUUUCCUAUUUCAGCAGCAGGGGGAGCCUGAACACCGCAUAGGAAAGGCUUGGGAGGUCAGACACGUGGUAGCAGGGACUCCAGGUCUUACUGGGGGUGGAGAGAGG